GCUGCUGUCUAUGGUAGAGUCCAAAAUACAAAGUAAUUGGCACUAUAGGUUCGAGUCCUUUCAGCAGCACCA
rnacentral:tRNA from 1 species